UUGCGGAAUUCCACUACUUACAUUAGGUUCACUGUAAAUCGAUAUUCACUAACCUAAGCCAUCGAGUAAAUUAACGGAAUUAUCGAAAAUGUUUAAUAACAUACCUAUAUUUAUACGCGUUGAAAAAUAAUUCCAGUUUUUCUAUAAGCUAUAGUCUGUCCCAGGAGAGAACGGUCCGCUCUCCGACCAAAUCGAAGCGCUACUGCGCAUCCCCAUGCCGCAACACAAUCCAUUUAUUCCCUCCCGGAUCUAU